GAUUAGCUAGUUGGUUUUUGAGUUAAAAGCUCACCAAGGCUUUUAUCAGUAGCUAUUCUUUGCGGAUGUAUAGCCACACUGGGAUUGAGAAAGGCCCAGACUCUUACGAGAGGCAGCAGUGGGGAAUAUUGGACAAUGAGCGAAAGCUUGAUCCAGCAAUGUUACGUGUGUGAUGAAGGGAAACUGUAAAACACUUUUUUUUAAGAAUAAGAAAUUUUAACUAAUAAUUAAAAUUUUUGAAUGUAUUAAAAGAAUAAGUACCGGCUAAUCACGUGCCAGCAGCCGCGGUAAUACGUGGGGUGCUAGCGUUAAUCUAAAUUAUUGGGCGUAAAGCGUGCUAAGGUUGUUUAAAAAGAUUUAUAUUAAAUUUUAAUAUUUUAAAAAGUAUAAAUUACUAUUAAACUUGAGUAUAGUAUAAGAAAAUAGAAUUUUAUGUGUAGCGGUGAAAUGUGUUGAUAUAUAAAAGAAUGCCGAAGGCGAAAGCAGUUUUCUCGACUAUUUACUGACACUGAAGCAGGAAAGCGUGGGUAGCGAACAGGAUUAGAUACCCUGGUAGUCCACGCCGUAAACGAUGUCAAUUAGCUGUUAAAAAUUUUUUUAGUGGCGUAGCUAACGCGUUAAAUUGACCGCCUGGGGAUUACGAUCGCAAGAUUAAAACUCAAAGGAAUUGACGGGGAUCAGCACAAGCGGUGGAUGAUGUGGAUUAAUUCGAUGAUACACGAAAAACCUCACCUACUCUUGACAUGGUCAGAAUUUUAUUGAGAAAUAAAAGUGCUUGAAAAAGAACUGACACACAGGUGUUGCAUGGCUGUUGUCAGCUCGUGUCGUGAGAUGUUGGGUUAAGUCCCGCAACGAGCGUAACCCUUACUCUUAGUUGCUAAUUUUAAGAACUUUAAGAGAACUGCCAAUGAUAAGUUAGGAGGAAGGAGGGGAUGACUUCAAGUCCUCAUGGCCCUUAUGAGUAGGGCUUCACACGUCAUACAAUGGUUGAUACAAUAAGUUGCAAUAUUGUGAAAUUGAGCUAAUCUUUAAAAUCAAUCUCAGUUCGGAUUGUACUCUGCAACUCGAGUACAUGAAGCCGGAAUCGCUAGUAAUCG
rnacentral:rRNA from 1 species